rnacentral:rRNA from 1 species
AUUGAACGCUGGCGGCAUGCCUAACACAUGCAAGUCGAGCGGAGCGGCGGACGGGUGAGUAAUGCAUAGGAAUCUGCCUGGUAGUGGGGGAUAACGUCCGGAAACGGGCGCUAAUACCGAACACUAACAGAUGAGCUUUGGGCGGAUUAGCUAGUUGGUGGGGUAGAGGCUUACCAAGGCGACGACCCGGAACUGGGCUGAGAGGAUGAUCAGUCACACUGGAACUGAGACACGGUCCAGAUCCCUACGGGAGGCAGCAUUGGGGAAUAUUGGAAAAUGGGCGAAGUCCUGCUCCAGCCCUGCCGCGUGUGUGAAGAAGGUCUCCGGACUGUAAAGCCCUUUAAGUUGGGAGGCGUUACCAACAGAAUAAGCACCGGCUAACUUCGUGCCAGCAGCCGCGGUAAUAC